CUUCAGGGAGAAGCAUCAUUCUCAGCAUGAAAGCAUUUUUUUUUUUAUCACGAUCAUAGAACCAUUGGAACAUUCUAGAAAUAUGUGGAAUGUCUAAAUAUUCCACACGGUGUGUGACGUGCUAAUGUGUGUAUGGCUUGACACAACACCUUCCAUCUAAGGUCUCACAGCUGCAAUUCUGUUUCAGAAGAUGGCCAUCUUUAUCAUACAAAAGUUGCAGCUGUUGUGACGAUAACAAGAUAAAAGAAAUACACAGAUAUUAAAGCAAGGAGAUAAAGGAGCCAAAUUCACAUAGGGACGACCUGGAUUCUUCAUGUCUCUAUUUCGACAAUGGUAAAACAAAUGAAUACGUUUAUCUGAGGUUCCGGAUCUGGCAGUUGAUUCAGCAAUCUCUUCCUGCAGAAGCUUCCAGAAGCUGCAUUUACCCCCAUGGGCCAUCUCUGUUCCAUUGGAUAAACUGCAAAUACUGAUUAGCCACAUGCGGUGGGGAUGACAGAGCAAGGGAGCCCAUUGUUAUAACACUCUGCCCUCCACUCUACUUAGUGAUAAUAAGAGAGGCUGUAAUUGCUUGG